AGUGCGCAUGCGGCCAAGUGCGGUACUGGGUGUCCUGGCUGUGGGUGUGGUUGGUACUGAGGGUUCAGUGGGUUCCGCCCGCCUAGGGGUGAGCACGUCAGCGGUGGGGGGCGCAGGUCCAGCUUUCUCCAUUUUUUAUUUAUUUGAUGGGGUAAAUUUGAGCAAAUUUCUCGAGUUGUCACAUUUGUUAUUAACUGAGCGGGAAUUAGGAGAGGAACCUGGUCCUCUCGACACAGCCCAGCAGGUACGCCGCCUAUGUGCCUGUGGAGAACAGCGGUUCCUGUAGGGCCGACAGGUGUGGACCAAGUAGCUGUGAAAUUUCUUCUGAAGACAACGCACGAGGAGGACGCAAGUGAGCUCAGUGGAGGAGGGGCGCUACCCCAGGGGACGUCCCCAUGCAUGGGCUUGUGAACCCCGAAUAUCUGAGACGGUCUCAGUCAAUUUAGAAAGUUUAUUUUGCCGAGGUUGAGGACGCACGCCCGUGACACAGCCUCACGAGGUCUUGACGACAUGUGUCCAAGGUGGUCAGGACACAGCUUGGUUUUAUACAUUUAAGGGAGACAGGAGACAUCAAUAUAUGUAAGAUGAACGUCGGUUCCGUCGGGAGAGGCGGGACAACUUGAAGCAGGGAGGGGGCUUCCAGGUCACAGGUAGGUGAGAGACAAACUGUUGUAUUCUUUUGGGUUUCUGAAUAGCCUCCCCAAAGGAGGCCAUCAGAUAUGCACUUAUCUCAGUGAGCAGAGGGGUGACUUUGAAUAGAAGGGGAGGGGCGGCAGGUUUGCCCUAAGCAGUUCCCAGCUUUUUCCCCUUUAGAUUAGUGAUUUUUGGGCCCUCAGAUUCAUUUUCCUUUCACAGGCUAAACAGCUUUAGGAACUGAAAAGUUCAUGAGGCUGUAAGGAAGAGUUGAGUUGCUCCAGGUGAGCCUCGGCCACAAUAGCAUGCAGGACCUGGGCGCCCACGUAGGGCUCCUGGGAGGGUUCGGGAAAGGGAGCUGUGAACCCUGACUAUCUGAGAUGGUUUCAGGUGAUUUAGAAAGUUCAUUUUGCCGAGGUUGAGGACGUGCACCCGUGACAGCCUCAGGAGAUCCUGACGACAAGUGCCCAAGGUGGUCAGGGCACAGCUUGGUUUUAGGGAGACCUGAGACGUCAGUCAAUACAUGUCAGAGGUACCUUGCUUCCAUCCAGAAAGGUGGGGACAACUGGAAGCAGGGAGGGGGCUUCCAAGGUCACAGGUAGGUGAGAGACAAAUGUUGCGUUGUUUUGAGUUUCUGGUUAGCCUCUCCAAAGGAGGCGAUUGGAUGUGCACCUAUCUUAGUGUGGAGAUAGGUGAUUUGGAAUAGAAUGAGAGGCAGGUUUGCCCUGAGCAGUUCCCAGCUUGACUUUUCCCUUUAGCUUAGUAAUUUUAGGGCCCCAAGAUUUUCUUUUCACAGAGCCUAUGACUGGAUUUGCAUUUUUAGAUCCUGCGAGGAGGCUGCUACACACAUGCAGAAGUUAUGCUGGUGGCCUGGACUCCGAAGGGAGAGAAGUGGAUUUGAGAGACAUUUAGGAGGUAGGAUUGCCAGGGCCUUGGUGAUAGCUUGGAUGUGGAGGGUGGAGGAGGAGGGGUGUCAAGCAGAUAUUGCUCUUAGAUUACCACCUGGGAUAUUAGGGAGAGUGAGUGGGCUGUUUUUUCUUCGUUAGGCAGAACUUGGUUUUGUGGUGCAGUAGGGUGCCUCAAACCAAAAGCCUGACUUCCUCGUACAGGCCAGACCCCACAUGGCUGUUCCUGUGACUGCCAGGCCACUUUGAGGCUGAGAGAGAUGGUUUUGUCUGGCCUCUGCCCUGCACAUGUUUGCGAAUGACUUCUCUGUGUUGGCAGAUUUGGGGGUCCACCAGAUAGGAUCCUGUGAAGAGACCUCAAAGGUCUUUAGUCCAAUUUAUAAAACAUCUUUUUGUUCAUAUCAUUUCCACAAUCAAAGAUGAAUAAAAUAUACAGAGGUUUAUGUAGUGAAUAAGGUUGAUGGUGCACCUGUGCUAGGCAGUGUUUUAGUUCGUUGAGACACCAAGGAGUUGAGACAAUCCUUUACCUUGGAGUUUUGUGUCUGUAAGUCCUGCUGUUGAGAGCUGUGUGUGUUAACAUGUCUGAUUUGGGCAGGUGAGAUCUGGGCCGUCUGUAAGGUUAGGUGAGAGGAGGUUGGUGUCCAGCAAGUAUCCAGUGCCCCAUCAACAUCCCAGUUCUUGUCCACCAGUCUUCCAGGUUUUGGACUGAUGCGGAGGCCCUCAGAGCGACUUCAGAGGAGAAGUAGUGUGCUCUGUGGCUGUCUGUUUUGGAAUGUAAAUUGUAAAUUCUCUGCAAACAAGAAGUUGGAAACAAGUAGCGUUUCAGCUUGAGUUUCUUGUAAAUGGCUUGCAGUCGUAUGAACCAGAGCAUGUAUACCACAGGGCAACAUGAGGGUCCCUCUAUCACCAUUUCUCCCAGUGGCCUAGGUGGGGAUUUAAACAGAAUAAUGUGUGCAGCCUCAUUGUGUGAAAGUCCAGUACUUUGUGCUUGGAGUGUCAUCAGGGAAGGGCCCCUGACUUUGAAGCCUUCUGCGUCUCGCUCUGUGAUAGGAGGCACAAUAUGGCCUUGGUCUUACGAAGACCUUGGGUGCCACAGCUCACUUCAGCCCUGAUCAGCCUGAUGCAGCCGCUGGGCCCUGGUUCUGGAGGUGAGAAUACACCCUGGGCUUCCACUGCAUGGCUGCACUGUGAGCAUUCGGGUGCUUAUUUGGGGACUGAUACAGAGUCCUGUGCCAGAUGCAGUGGUGCACACCUGGGAACCAAGGGUCCCUGCUUCUACUGGAGUAUCUGGACAGAUGUAUAAGCAGAAACUCACAUGUGUGAAGAUAUGGAAGAUUCCAAUUCACGGAGGUUCCCCGUCAUAUUCUGUGCCAGACACUGGAGGCAGUGUAUGAUUUGGAUGAAACGAGAAAGAGACUGACUGUUGCUGAGUCCCUGCUGCAGUCCUGACACAGCUGGAGACACCCUGCUCUCCAGCUCUCCUUAUUUUGUUGAUGCUUAUGAGGACCAUGUUGUCUGAGGAAGACGGUUCCCAUCCAACUCUGCCCCUGGUGUGUCACAUGCUGGCCUUGUCAACACACACAAGAAACUGACAGGGUGAGUGUUAUAACCCCAUCUAUAGAAAAGGAAACGUCUCUAAAGUCUUUAGCAUCUUGCUCGAGUUUGGACACUUAGCAGAGGCCUGAGUUUAGAUGCAGCCCUGUCUUGCUGUUUGACAGCCUCAGCACCACAUGCCCUGGGUGACCCAUGCAGUGAGUCACUGACAGCCCUCGUGGUUGGCCUGUGGCACAGCACGGAGUGAAAUGGCCCACUGACGUUUUCAGACAUUCAGGCAAUUUGUGAUAGAGCGUAUGCGGUCACUCCCAGUUAGUUCUGUUGUUCAGUUUAAUAGAAUACCUAAUUCUAUGUUUAUUAUGAAUAAAGGGAGAUUU